CCUACGGGUGGCAGCAGUGAGGAAUAUUAGUCAAUGGACGAGAGUCUGAACCAGCCAAGUAGCGUGAAGGAUGACUGCCCUAUGGGUUGUAAACUUCUUUUAUAUGGGAAUAAAAUGUUCCACGUGUGGGAUUUUGUAUGUACCAUAUGAAUAAGGAUCGGCUAACUCCGUGCCAGCAGCCGCGGUAAUACGGAGGAUCCGAGCGUUAUCCGGAUUUAUUGGGUUUAAAGGGAGCGUAGGUGGAUUGUUAAGUCAGUUGUGAAAGUUUGCGGCUCAACCGUAAAAUUGCAGUUGAAACUGGCAGUCUUGAGUACAGUAGAGGUGGGCGGAAUUCGUGGUGUAGCGGUGAAAUGCUUAGAUAUCACGAAGAACUCCGAUUGCGAAGGCAGUUCACUGGACUGCAACUGACACUGAGGCUCGAAAGUGUGGGUAUCAAACAGGAUUAGAUACCCUAGUAGUC
rnacentral:rRNA from 1 species